GCUGAUUUCAGAUUGUAUUGGUUUUAUUUGAAGUGCUUUAGUGUAGUUUGCAAGUAGGAUAUACUGACCCAAAAUUAAAUGCUCAGUCAAUCAGCCCAAAAACCAAUCCCACGAAAGGUAAAUAAAGGAUAUAGCCAUCAAAAAGCAAGAAACAUUGCAUGUUGAAACAUCAAGCCUGAAUGCAUUAUAAUAGUGCUGGUCUGUGGAAGAAUGCUUGGAGAAGUAUUCUUCCUUUUGGAUCCUUUAAUGAGAGCAUCCGCCACUCUUUGUCAAUUUCAUAAAUAAUUUCAUUUGUAAGGCAUUUUCUCACUUGUUCAUGCCUCAAAGCAGCGUUUGCAAUUUGGGUGUAUGUCCCAUGGCAAAUCAUGCUACCAAGAGGAACGAGAUCCUUUGGCAAGCAGUAUGUUUUGGUUUUUGACUUCCAGUUUACGGAGACGCUGACUGUUGUUUCCUGGGUAUCUGAAAAGUCUAAAGACCUUGCUGUUCUUGACUUUCCAGCCGGCAUACUAGAUUCACCCAAUACAAACACUUUUGGUGCUGACAACAGGCUUUUUGGGGGUGCUGGUGAAUAAUUUAUUCCAAGCAGCUUCAAUUAGCGAUAAAGGCAAAGGGCUACUCUUUUCAUCAACUUUUUGGUGGCCAUCUUCAUACCUUUUUUCUAGGUUCUCUGCAAGUUCUUGGGCCUCAGCUUUAGCAGAACACCUUUGACGUAACAAGGGAAGACAAUCUUGCAAGGUAUCUGGAUUCGAAUUUUGCAUAAUUUAUAAUCUUUCCAAAUGAUAGAUAAAGUAUAUCUUCAGUGUAAUUAUUUUUGCCACUUUUUUGUGGUCAAUUCCAAGAGACAGAUUGCACACAGUGGCUUAAAUGCAGACGCCAUGAAUACUGUUUGUUUGAUCACUGUUGUUGCUAUGUAUCCAUAGAAAUAGGAAAAGUGCUGAGUUGGCAGAACAAGAAAACACACUCAGUUCCACAGAUUCUACUUUCCUCUCAUUUUUCUCCUCUACGAGUCUUACGCAGGCUGGGCUAGAUGGAGCUUGCAAGUUGUACGCUCUGCAGGCCACCCAAGAAAGACCCUGCUUUGUUUUAGGCAAUAAUUUUUGGCAAAUCAAAGGUUACAUAAAUUUAAAAGUUGUUUAGUCCCAGAAACCAACUGAUAUCAAUAAAAUUGUUAUAGAACUUUUAAAUUGAGGAACUUGGGAACACCCUAAAUUUGGCAACCAAAAAUAAAAAUGCGUUAGAUCAGCUGGCAAAGGUGUCAGGUGACGUUAAUGCAAAUUUUAUAUGUCAUAUAAAAAAAACCAAAAAAAUCUAUAUAUCAAAAUUUAUAAAAUCCAAAUGUAAAAUAUAUAUGUAGAUUAAUGAUUCGUCAUCGUUUGUUUAUCAGGAAAACGAAGUGUACUUAUUCUUCAUACACAAAAAGCAUGAUUAACGCAUAUUACUCAUACACAUUUUCCUCAAUAAAAAGGUAUAAUCUGAAAAAACAGCAGUCAUGUUGGACCAGCGAUUUUUAGACGAGCAAAUUGUCAAGAUGGCUGUUGAAAACUCAAAUUCCUUAUCGCCAUCUUGAAGAAGUGGCAGCCAUUGCUGGGCUGAAUUCAGCAGCCAUUUACAAUGGUUACCACCGUCUUUGAAGAAAGAACAAAGAAAAAUAUUGAAGAAAUUGCAUGAUAAUCCUUAAUCUAGAGAGCAAUGUUUUGCUCUCUGAAUACAAACUGUUUGUUUUACCUAUUGUUGCUCUUUUCUUUACAUGUAUUUAUUUUUUAUUGUCUCCCAGUCCAUGUCUUGAUUGCCUCAGUUGACGAAAUAUAGCCUCCUUCAAUAAUGUUCUACCAUUGAAUAAAGGUCGUACAGAUAAAGUGUGAACAGAACUGUUAAACAGAACAAUUUUGAGCGGCGACAGUGUUAACACUUGUGGACCGAAAUGGCAGAGGCUAAAUAUAAGUCAUCUUUUAGCUUUCAGUUUAUACACUAUCAUACAAAACUGUAUAAAGUUUCUAAUAAUGACUUUGAAGGAAGCAUACAUUAUAAAACAUACUAAAAGCUUUCUCGUCUGAUACUCCUCAGAGCAUAAAACGCCUGUAUCUUUUCCGACUCCCAACUUAGACCAGUUGUAGAUGGGACCCUUCACUGUCCAGAUGACUGGUGCGUCAAUUCUGCACCUGGAGGCCAGUUCAGACACGUUGCAAUCAAACUAGCCACUGUUGGUGAAGCAAUAAAAAAGAAACGUUCUUCAAAAUGGGUUGCAUUUGUGGUCGGUACGAACGAUUUGGCCAAACACAUGGUUUUGGAUAGAGCCAAGGAUGAUUUCUGUCAUUUGCUUGCAACAGUCACAAAGUUUUUGCAGACAGGUCUGUGACUAGUCUCAAAUAACUGCCUGACUUGAGAAUUUGCAAACAUUAUCAAACCAUUUCAUUGUAACAACAUUGUUUUGGGUAAUUUCCAAAAGUUUCGUUUAGGUACAAUGAAAGAACGAAUAGCGCCUUUGCAGAACUGUAAAUUCGUUAGGGGUCUUAAAUCUCAAGAAACAAGCAAAUUUUCCGAUAUAUGACAUAAUUUUCGAAAAAUUUGUUUAAAGAAUGACUCUAGCACAAGCUGGAAGGGGGGGGGGGAAGGUUCUCAUGCCAAAAUUGCAAAAAUAUCUAUGUUCCUUUCUAGGGAGGCUGUAAUAUUAUCAGAAUUAUUAUCAUAACAUGAAAAUGAAUUUUAUUGGCUUAAUACAUAGCUACAUCUUGUUGAAAAACUGUUAGCUAUUUAUUAUCAUUUGACAACUAAUGCCAUUUUGGAAUUCCUCGCAUACAUCACGAUAAUUCAAGUGCCUUUCCAUUAUAGGUUCUUGUAGUAUCGAUUCUGCCAUGGCUCGAUGAGGCAGACAUCCGACUCGGCCAUUACAAUUAUAUGAUGGCAAGAGAGGCAUCUGCUUCAAAUGUUGCAGAUGCAGACAAUGAUUAUGAUCGCUGGGACCUUUCUGGUCGAACAAAGACAGCGUCCAUUUAAGUGCAAACUUUGGUCUGCCACGACUCAUCUCAUUAAUCGUGGAUCAACUUGAGAAAAUCUAAGCCGAGGUUGAAGACACAUAAAAGACGAGGGGGCCAAGGUUAUGCCCUGCAUUCAUUUGGAGGGAGCUGAAAAACCAACACCCUCUUGGCAAACAAUUGAUCAAAGCUGAAGAGGAAGCCAUGCCUUUGAAAGUAACAAAAAUUGAUAAAAGAAAAAGAAUCAGCUAUGUGUA